GCUUAUUCUCAGGGCGGGGCGAAAUUCCCCACCGGCGGUAAAUCAGUGUCUACUGAAAGCCCGCGAGCGCUUCAGCCAAUGGCGGAAGGUCAGCAGAUCCGGUGUAAUUCCGGGGCCGACGGUUAAAGUCCGGAUGGGAGAGGGUAACG
rnacentral:ncRNA from 2 species